CGGUGGGGUACCUCCAAGUGGUUUUGAAGGCCAGGAGAGUAUAUAAAUCCCCGAGUUCGUGCUCUGAAAAUAUGGUGCGAUUUGCCUUCUCUUGAAUUCGACAUUUGCCGUGAUCAAUCAAGUAUCCAUGGAAGCCCCAAAAAGCCAACAGGAAAAGCCUUCAUCGCCACCUCUUGGUCCAUGCUGGACAAAUGAGAAUGAUGAAGCCACUUUCUUGGAGGAUUUGAAGGCCCACAUUGAUGAAUUUGUCAAUGCAUCCCUGAAAGAGCAUAAAACUUGCUUCAGGAAGACCAUUCAGAAGAUGUUUGGAAUGCCGUAUUAAGGUUGUUGCGGAGAGGAGUUCUGCCACCCAGGAAGUUGAAAGUUCUCUGCUGCUUUGGACAACUGGGGCACAGCAAAUCAUCUCUUAGUGGUGCUAGCUCACUGUAUAUGUGGGUGACUUGUUCUCUUUUUUGUUUUCCGGUUUGACGGUCGAAGUUUUGAAUAAGUUUUAUUAGCUCUGGUGCAUAAGUCAUGCAUUUUGUCAAUUUCGUCCUUCUUUAAAUGACUCUUCA